GCAGCCGCCACGGUAAUACAGAGGGUGCGAGCGUUAAUCGGAUUUACUGGGCGUAAAGCGUGCGUAGGCGGAUAAUUGAGUCGGAUGUGAAAUCCCCGAGCUUAACUUGGGAAUUGCAUUCGAUACUGGUUAGCUAGAGUGUGGGAGAGGAUGGUAGAAUUCCAGGUGUAGCGGUGAAAUGCGUAGAGAUCUGGAGGAAUACCGAUGGCGAAGGCAGCCAUCUGGCCUAACACUGACGCUGAGGUACGAAAGCAUGGGGAGCAAACAGGAUUAGAUACCCCGGUAGUCCCUGUCUCUUAUAC
rnacentral:rRNA from 1 species